rnacentral:rRNA from 1 species
UACGGGGGGGGCAAGCGUUGCUCGGAAUUACUGGGCGUAAAGGGCUCGUAGGUGGCCAACUAAGUCGGACGUGAAAUCCCUCGGCUUAACCGGGGAACUGCGUCUGAUACUGGAUGGCUUGAGUUCGGGAGAGGGAUGCGGAAUUCCAGGUGUAGCGGUGAAAUGCGUAGAUAUCUGGAGGAACACCGGUGGCGAAGGCGGCAUCCUGGACCGAUACUGACACUGAGGAGCGAAAGCCAGGGGAGCAAACGGG